UUGCUGUGAUGACAUCUUAGGACACCUUUAGAGGCUUGCUCCUAUGAAACUAACUUAUGUCUGAGCACA